GCAGUACCUGGGGGCGGGUGGGCACGUGACCAUGCCAGACCAAAGCGUUCCAUCUAUCUGGAUUCACCUUUCCCUGGACAGAGCAUCCCAAAGUCCGUAAGAACUAUGCUUGAAUUAAAAAUGAAAACAAGUAAACAAUGAGAAGGAAUUCGAUUCUUGAUCUGCCAGUGGCUUUGUAUCUUGUGCUGGACCGAUGAGCAGGAACGAUUCUGCUCCAAGAAUACCCCCGGCAGGAGAGAAGUACACUGUCUCACAAGCUUGGCUUCCAUCUGAAGAGCCGUUUGAAGAGAUUCCUGACUCCUUUAGGCAGCCAUGGCAGCGCCUGCAAACUGAGGAGGGCUAUGCUGUCCUGCAUUUGAGAUCAGCCUAGGCUCCACUCAGAGUCCUUGUCCCAAAGAAAAUACACACAAACAGUCUCCAAAACAGACAAAUGAACCAACGAAAUCACAAGUAAGGUUGACAGCUCAGAGAAGAUAAGUACAAAGAGAUAACAUUUAUAAAGGGACUGAUAAGAGGAAGGAAGAGAAAGGAGAAAAAUGGAAGAAGAAGGAAAUAAUUAAAAAAUUCCAAGAGACUCUCCAAAGAGUCCAGGCUAUUGUCAUUGCUUGUGGUUGCUUCCCCAAACUUGAAGGGCACGAUAAGCAGCCCCUCUUGACAUGCUGAGGAUUAAGGAGCAGGCUGUGAAGACAGAAUCCAGAGAAGACCCGUAUUAGCUGAUGGCUGUAUUCGAGACUGAAAUCGUCAGACCCGGGGUAACAAUGAAUGGAGGCUGGAUGUGAGAGGAAAUAAUCAUCAGUGUACAUACUCACACAUGUCAUUCAGAAUAGCUGUGAUAUUCACCACGGCCCUCAAAAGAAAAUAAAAAAAAGAAGAAAGAAAAUAAAA